UGAAAUCUCACCAGGCCCGGACACUGGAAGGAUUGACAGAUUUAUAGCUCUUUCUUGAUUCGGUGCGUGAUGGUGCAUGGCCGUUCUUAGUUGGUGGAGUGAUUUGUCUGGUUAAUUCCGUUAACGAACGAGACCUUAACCUGCUAAAUAGUGACGCGGUUCAUCGAACCGUGGGCCACUUCUUAGAGGGACUAUCGGAUUCAAACCGAUGGAAGUGUGAGGCAAUAA
rnacentral:rRNA from 1 species